rnacentral:tRNA from 1 species
CAUUAGAUGACUGAAAAGCAAGUAAUGGUCUCUUAAACCAAAAUAUAGUAAAUUAGUAAAUACUUCUAAUGA